GUCAGUUUGUAGGAGCAGUAGUUUAUGAUAAGAAAAUACGCAUUCCUAAAUAUUAGAUAUUCUUUAUCAAUACCAUACAUCCUAGGUAAAAGCAUCAGGCAUUUGGGAAACAGGCAAGAUGAUGUUUAAAAUGAUGAGAUAUCUUUAAACCGUCUAUCUUAGUCUCAGAAAUAAUUCUGCAGAGACUUUGAGUGAGCUUUCACAUUGAGUGAAGGACUGUGAGGUCAUUUCUUACACUUUCUGUUUCUAUCUUGUAUACACUAACCGGAUGAGGGCUGUGAGCCAGGGCUCUAUCUGAUGACAUGGUGCCUGCCGACCUCCGGGUCUACUCUGGAGACAGCCAGGGUGUGAAUGUAGCAAGACUACAAAAUCACGAAGCCACGGAUCAGCCAGGAGGGGAAUCAAAAUGGGAUCUCCUAGCGAACGAACGUGUGGUCCUCCCAGAAGUUUAUCGUGGCUCUGGAUGCGGACUCUUUGUCCAAACAGAUAUACUGAGAUGUUUUCAGCAUGACUCAGAGCAGCUGGGCAGGGCGGGGAGCUAGCCUCUUUGUUUUCUGCCUGAUUUAAUGGCCUAUACCUUACAACGAGCCACAGCACUGCAGAAAUAACAGAACGUGGCCGCGUACUCCGAAGAGAACGAGAGGGUGUGAACGAGACAGCCACUGGGGAUCCCCAGGCCACCGCGCAAGGUGCCUCCACUAGCUGAUAACAUCUUACAGGCGGGGAAAGCAACCCUGACACAGGUGUGGAUGUCCUUGUGUCAUUACCAGGGCGGCGAGAGAACAGAACGAGAUCGGAGGGCUGCAGGCAGCGCUUCGCCUCUGUCCCCUGGUCCCCUCAUGGGGAGAAGCGCGGUCAAGCCACAUACGAGCUGUGAGCCCACGCGCCGUCGUGGGCCGGGAGCUUGCGACAACGUGCUCCUGACGUCGCGGUGUCCGCGCCGGGCAGGGCCUUGGAUCACGGUGACCGCGCCUCGCCCACGGUGACCGCGCCUCGCCCACAUACCCUGCGAACGUCUUUCAGUGAGUCUUUGAUUUUAUUCUCACCGAAAAUCCCCCUCGAACAGCACUAACGCCUGUUUCAGGCCGAGAGGUGAGCUGCGGGGGCCGCACGGCUGGUUGGCAGGACUCGCCAGUCAGGUGGCGACUCGACCAUCGGACCACGCGGCC